rnacentral:rRNA from 1 species
GUCCCUACGGGGCGCAGCAGUCGGGAAUAUUGCGCAAUGGAGGAAACUCUGACGCAGUGACGCCGCGUGCAGGAAGAAGGUUUUCGGAUUGCAAACUGCUUUAGACAGGGAAGAAAGAAAUGACGGUACCUGUAGAAUAAGCUCCGGCUAACUACGUGCCAGCAGCCGCGGUAAUACGUAGGGAGCAAGCGUUAUCCGGAUUUACUGGGUGUAAAGGGAGCGUAGACGGCAAGACAAGCCUGGAGUGAAAGGCGGGGGCCCAACCCCCGGACUGCUCUGGGAACUGUCUGGC